UACGUAGGGACCAAGCGUUGUUCGGAUUUACUGGGCGUAAAGGGCGCGUAGGCGGCAUGACAAGUCACUUGUGAAAUCUCUGGGCUUAACCCAGAACGGCCAAGUGAUACUGUCGCGCUAGAGUGCGGAAGGGGCAAUCGGAAUUCUCGGUGUAGCGGUGAAAUGCGUAGAUAUCGAGAGGAACACCUGCGGCGAAGGCGGGUUGCUGGGCCGACACUGACGCUGAUGCGCGAAAGCCAGGGGAGCAAACGGG
rnacentral:rRNA from 1 species